UCUGGAGGAAGGAUGAUCGCUGUGUUCAUUUAUGAAUACAGAGGAAAGUCCAGGCAGCUGAAGGUCGGGUGGUCGCCGCAAGGUGACACGCGCAAGCGCUAGUCAGAGCCACAGAAACUAUGUCGGCCGGUUUACCCUAAAGGUAGGCAGGUACGAGUGAAAAGGGGCAAUCCUCCCCGCUGCAACCUCCGAAUGGGUCGCUAAUAGGUAACCUUCCCGAGACCCGAAGUUUGAGGGCGUUAGAUGGAUGAUCGUCUAAAAACAGAACCUGGCUUACUAGCCUCCAGAGCAU
rfam:Candidatus Woesebacteria bacterium RIFCSPHIGHO2_12_FTLL_46_16 rifcsphigho2_12_scaffold_12786, whole genome shotgun sequence.